rnacentral:lncRNA from 1 species
CCCUAAUCUUUUCCAGCCUCCAUCUUCCUUCUUCCACCAGUCAAGCAAAUCAAAUGAAAUGGUAGUUUUUCUCAUCUUCAUCUUCUGACAAAUGGAUCUUAUUUAUCUUCUUUCUCACACAGCAACAAAUGACAACCUAAUUUCUGCUAAACCCUAAAACCCACCAUCGCAAAUUUGCUUUGUCUGUUCUUGAUCGAUUCCUCUUUGAUAAUUGAAGGUCCACAUAUAAAGACUGAGUGUUAGAUGUUGGAACCGGACUUGAAAAAUUCGAAAUAAAUUUCUACUUUUGUAGUGGUAUAAUUUGAAUCAUCCUUGAUGUUCCGGCUGUUCAAGACAAUGAAUUGGUUUUGAUUCGGCACAUCAAGAUACUAAGUAACAAUGGUGCCAUAAACUUUUGGGAUGCAUCAUCUCUAUUUCUUAUUCCAAUCCUAUCAUUCAAUCAAACAGAGGAGAUUAAUGAGAUUGAGAGUGUGUUCAUGUGCAACCAGGUUCUGGAAUCGGUUGGGUAACGGGUCAGAUGGGUAUAUUUGUUCAUGUCUCAAGAAAUGCAAAGAUUGGGAUAAGCCAGGGAUGUGGGUAUGCGACCAUGAGCUCACUUGGAGAAUCCAAAGUUGAAUUGCUACUCUAGAUGGUUCAAACAAUAAACCUUUGAGAAGUUGUAAAAUGCCCCACACAAGAGCCUCGAGUGGAGUUUCCUGUAUAUAGAAGGAAUUGACGCCAUAUGGGUACCGUACAAGUAUUAAUCUUCAUUUCAUGUACCAGUUCAUUCCAGAAUGACAUCGAUCAACAAUUUCCAGAAAUGCCAGUGAUUUCUUCAACUCCGACUACUGUCGAAAAGACUUCAAGGAUUGCACUGAUCGCCGCCCAUAGAAUCGUUCGAGCUCUCGAUUACGAUGUUGAUGAAUUUUAGGCCACCUGCGACCCAGUGAUAGGUUUGAUGCAACUUAAAAUACGAGCCUGUUAGGUCUUUAAGUUGGCAGGUGUGAUACUGCAUGCUGGCGUGAUGAGCGUUUCUUCAUCAGGUUCUAGACAGGUUUUGGGUGGAGAUCUUGCUCGUAUGAUACAAAUCUAAUAUAGCCUUUUUCAUUUAAAAAUGGGCACCAUGUUUCAAACUUUGAGGACUUAAAUAGGGGCGGGUCUGCUUGGACAACUGGUGUAAGAAGUAAUAGAAUUAAAACAAAACCCUUGGAAUAUUGGAAGGGUGAAAGACCCUUGUAUGCAUGAGUUCAUAACAGUUAUGUUAAAUAUCCAACGGGUCAAACGGGUAUAAUAAUAAACAUGUCAAUGAGUCGAGUAUGUGAAACAGAGCCAUUGAAAAUGGUUUCUCUUGUAAAGACUGUGAAGAUGAGUAUGAAAAUGUAAGUGAAGAUGGAGGUGCAUUUUCUAGGUCCGUACAAGUUGUAAAAUUGAACAAUGUUGAGAGAAAUAAUCAUUCUUUAAAAGAAAGAAAACCAGUGAGUUUUGUGAAAUCCAAUUUUAGUAGAAGCAGUACAAGUAGAAACGAGUGGUUUAAGUGCCAUCAAUGUAGGAGAACCGACACAAUAACAGUUUCUUCCACCAAGUGUAAAGAAAAAGUAUAUCGUAUCCAAUGCAUCAAGCAAUGGUAUCCCCAAUUGUCAAAAGAAGAUUUUGCAGAGCUAUGCCCAUUUUGACGUGGAAACUACAACUGCAACUUGUGGUUACAGUCCAACAUUAAGAUGCCGAAAAUUAAAUUUGAUAAUGAUGUGAAGUUGCAACAUCUUCAUUAUUUAAUCAAUUCACUCCUUUCGUUUUCUAAACAAAUCUGUAAAGAACAAGAAGAGGAAAAUAUCGGUGGAAGCAUCUUCUCGAGGGGUAUCACAGUCUUCACUUAAAAUUAGGCUGGCAGAUUGUUACACUGAUGAGUGUGUCUAUUGCAACCAUUGCUCAACAUCAAUAUCUGAUCUCCAUAGAAGUUGUUCAAAAUGCUCAUAUGAGCUAUGUCUUAAUUGCUGUCGGGAAAUACGGAACAAUGAACCUAUCGUUCAAAGAAAAGUAGACUUUGGGUACUACUUUAGAGGUUUUGACUAUGUUCAUGGGGGGAUCCUUAAUGAAUACCACUUUUCUUAAAAAUGCACCGAUGUAUGUAUAAAAUAUUAUUUUAACCCAUUUUUAUAUUUGUUUGGUGUAUAGAGUUUAGCAACUUAAAAUUCUUUAUUAAAUAGAUAUUGAUUUAAUUGAUUGGGGUGAAUGGCAAAAUGAAUU